CGGGCCGUAGUAUACCGGUAGUACACGCGAUUCGGGUUCGCGUAGACUGGGUUCGAUUCCCAGCGGCCCGA
rnacentral:tRNA from 1 species